AACGAACGCUGGCGGCGUGCCUAACACAUGCAAGUCGAGCGCGAAAAGGGCAACCUGAGUAGAGCGGCGCACGGGUGCGUAACACGUGGGUAAUCUGCCUUAGAGUCGAGGAUAACCUUCCGAAAGGUUGGCUAAUACUCGGUAAGCUUACGGUGUUUUCGGACGCUGUGGGAAAAGUAGGCCUCUGUUUACAAACUUACGAUCUGAGAUGAGCCCGCGGCCCAUCAGCUAGUUGGCGGUGUAACGGACCACCAAGGCAACGACGGGUAGCUGGUCUGAGAGGACGAUCAGCCACACUGGAACUGAGACACGGUCCAGACUCCUACGGGAGGCAGCAGUGGGGAAUUUUCCACAAUGGGCGAAAGCCUGAUGGAGCAACGCCGCGUGUGUGAUGAAGGUUUUCGGAUCGUAAAGCACUUUCGACCGGGACGAAAAACCUCUGGCUAACAUCCAGGGGCCUGACGGUACCGGGAGAAGAAGCACCGGCUAACUCUGUGCCAGCCGCCGCCGUAA
rnacentral:rRNA from 1 species